UUCGGAAAUGAAGAUUUUGUGACUGAGUGGCGGACGGGUGAGUAACGCGUGGGUAACCUGCCUCAUACAGGGGGAUAACAGUUAGAAAUGACUGCUAAUACCGCAUAAGCGCACAGUGCUGCAUGGUCCGGUGUGAAAAACUCCGGUGGUAUGAGAUGGACCCGCGUCUGAUUAGCCAGUUGGUGGGGUAACGGCCUACCAAAGCGACGAUCAGUAGCCGACCUGAGAGGGUGACCGGCCACAUUGGGACUGAGAUACGGCCCAGACUCC
rnacentral:rRNA from 1 species